CGCAACCCUUGCCAUUAGUUGCUACGAAAGGGCACUCUAAUGGGACUGCCGGUGACAAACCGGAGGAAGGUGGGGAUGACGUCAAGUCCUCAUGGCCCUUAUAGGUGGGGCUACACACGUCAUACAAUGGCCGGUACAGAGGGUAGCCAACCCGCGAGGGGGAGCCAAUCCCACAAAGCCGGUCGUAGUCCGGAUCGCAGUCUGCAACUCGACUGCGUGAAGUCGGAAUCGCUAGUAAUCGCGGAUCAGCAUGUCGCGGUGAAUACGUUCCCGGGUCUU
rnacentral:rRNA from 1 species